rnacentral:rRNA from 1 species
CGUGUAGGCGGUCGGGCAAGUCAGAUGUGAAAGCCUUCUGCUUAACAGAAGAAGUGCAUUUGAAACUACCCGGCUAGAGUACGGGAGAGGAGAGCGGAAUUUCGGGUGUAGAGGUGAAAUUCGUAGAUAUCCGGAGGAACACCGGUGGCGAAGGCGGCUUUCUGGACCGAAACUGACGCUGAGACGCGAAAGCGUGGGGAGCAAACAGGAUUAGAUACCCUGGUAGUCCACGCUGUAAACGAUGGGCACUAGGUGUGGGGGGUUUUUAAUCCCUCCGUGCCGCAGCUAACGCAUUAAGUGCCCCGCCUGGGGAGUACGGCCGCAAGGUUAAA